AUUGAACGCUGGCGGCAGGCCUAACACAUGCAAGUCGAGCGGAGCGGCGGACGGGUGAGUCAUGCCUAGGAAUCUGCCUGGUAGUGGGGGAUAACGUCCGGACACGGGCGCUAAUACCGCAUACUAUCAGAUGAGCCUAGGUCGGAUUAGCUAGUUGGUGGGGUAAAGGCCUACCACGGCGACGAUCCGUAACUGGUCUGAGAGGAUGAUCAGUCACACUGGAACUGAGAAACUGUCCAGACGCCUACGGUAGGCAGCAGGGGGGCAUAUUGGACAAUUGGCGAAAGCCUGAUCCCGCCAUGGCGCGUGUGUGAAGAAGGUCUUCGGAUUGUAAAGCACUUUAAGUUGUGAGGCGUUACCAACAGAAUAAGCACCGGCUAACUUCGUGCCAGCAGGCGCGGUAAUUC
rnacentral:rRNA from 1 species